rnacentral:tRNA from 1 species
UGUCGCGGUGGGGAAGCGGUCAACCCGCCUGGUUCAUACCCAGGAGAUCGGCGGUUCGAAUCCGUCCCGCGCAACCA